GAUGAACGCUGGCGGCGUGCCUAAUACAUGCAAGUCGAGCGAACGGACGAGAAGCUUGCUUCUCUGAUGUUAGCGGCGGACGGGUGAGUAACACGUGGAUAACCUACCUAUAAGACUGGGAUAACUUCGGGAAACCGGAGCUAAUACCGGAUAAUAUUUUGAACCGCAUGGUUCAAAAGUGAAAGACGGUCUUGCUGUCACUUAUAGAUGGCUCCGCGCUGCAUUAGCUAGUUGGUAAGGUAACGGCUUACCAAGGCAACGAUGCAUAGCCGACCUGAGAGGGUGAUCGGCCACACGGGAACGGAGACACGGUCCAGACUCCUACGGGAGGCAGCAGUAGGGAAUCUGCCGCAAGGGGCGAAAGCGUGACGGAGCAACGCCGCGUGAGUGAUGAAGGUCUUCGGAUCGUAAAACUCUGUUAUUAGGGAAGAACAUAUGUGUAAGUAACGGUGCACAUCUGGACGGUACCUAAGCAGAAAGCCACGGCUAACUACGU
rnacentral:rRNA from 1 species